AGUGAACGCUGGCGGUAGGCCUGACACAUGCAAGUCGAACGGCAGCACAGUAAGAGCUUGCUCUUACGGGUGGCGAGUGGCGGACGGGUGAGGAAUACAUCGGAAUCUACUUUUUCGUGGGGGAUAACGUAGGGAAACUUACGCUAAUACCGCAUACGACCUACGGGUGAAAGCAGGGGAUCUUCGGACCUUGCGCGAUUGAAUGAGCCGAUGUCUGAUUAGCUAGUUGGCGGGGUAAAGGCCCACCAAGGCGACGAUCCGUAGCUGGUCUGAGAGGAUGAUCAGCCACACUGGAACUGAGACACGGUCCAGACUCCUACGGGAGGCAGCAGUGGGGAAUAUUGGACAAUGGGCGCAAGCCUGAUCCAGCCAUACCGCGUGGGUGAAGAAGGCCUUCGGGUUGUAAAGCCCUUUUGUUGGGAAAGAAAAGCAGCAGGUUAAUACCCCGCUGUUCUGACGGUACCCAAAGAAUAAGCACCGGCUAACUUCGUG
rnacentral:rRNA from 1 species